rnacentral:rRNA from 1 species
AUUGAACGCUGGCGGCAUGCCUUACACAUGCAAGUCGAACGGCAGCACGGGAGCAAUCCUGGUGGCGAGUGGCGAACGGGUGAGUAAUAUAUCGGAACGUGCCCAGUCGUGGGGAUAACGUAGCGAAAGCUACGCUAAUACCGCAUACGAUCUAUGGAUGAAAGCGGGGGAUCGCAAGACCUCGCGCGAUUGGAGCGGCCGAUAUCAGAUUAGGUAGUUGGUGAGGUAAAGGCUCACCAAGCCGACGAUCUGUAGCUGGUCUGAGAGGACGACCAGCCACACUGGGACUGAGACACGGCCCAGACUCCUACGGGAGGCAGCAGUGGGGAAUAUUGGACAAUGGGCGAAAGCCUGAUCCAGCAAUGCCGCGUGAGUGAUGAAGGCCUUAGGGUUGUAAAGCUCUUUUACCCGAGAUGAUAAUGACAGUAUCGGGAGAAUAAGACUCCGGCUAACUCCGUGCCAGCAGCCGACGG